AGGUCUGAAUAGACAUUUAUUGAAAGAAGAUAUAAAAUGGCCAAUAAGCACAAGAAAAGAUGCUUGGUAUCAUUAGUCAUCAGGGAAAUACAAGACAAAACUAUAAUGAGAUAUCACUUCAUAUUCAUGAGGAUGGCUAUAGUCAGAAAGACAGAUAUUAACAAGUUUUGGGGAGGCUGUGGAGAAAGCAGAACCUUCAUACACUGCUGGCGAGAUUGUGAAAUGGUGCAUCUACUUUGGAAAACAGACUGGCAGUUCCUCAAGAAGUUAAACAUAGAAUUACCAUAUGAUCCAGCAAUUCUACUCCUAGGUACACACCCAAGAAAAAUAAAAGCAUGUCUGUACAAAAACUUGUACAUGAAUAUUCAUAGAAACGGUAUUCAGAAUAGCCAAAAGGUAGAAACAACCCAAAAGUCCAUUAACUGAUGAAGAGAUGAACUGUGAUAUAGCCAUACAAUGGAAUAUUAUUUGGCCAUAAAAAGGAGUGAAGUAGCAUGAUACAUGCUACAACACAGAUGAGUUCUGAAAACACUAUGCUACUGGGAAGCAGCAAGCAACAAAAAGCCAUAUAUUUUUAUUCCACUGAUAUUAAAUGCCCAGAAUGGGCAAAUAUAGACAGAAAAUAGCUUAAUGAUUGCUUAGGGCUGGGGGGAUUGGACUGUGAUAGCUAAGGGCUAUGGGGUUUCUUAGGUGCUGAAAAUGUUAUGAAAUAGAUUGUGGAGAUGUUUGAGCCACUCCGUGAAUGUAAUGAAAACCACGGAAUUGUACACUUUAAAUGGGUGAAUUAAGCAGCGUGUGAAUUAUUUCUCAAUAAAGCUGUUUAAAAAAAAACUGCGGAGUCACUGUGCUUGGCCCACUCAGUAGACUGAGUGUUAACGGGAACCCAGGUCUACGUGGCAGCACAGAGAUGAGCUCAAACUCCAGCUCAGCCACUUCCCAGCCAUGCAACCUCCUCAGACAGAUAGCCUCGUCUCCCUAAAAUGGAAACGGUGGGAAUAUUCACUGGAGUGAGGUCUCCUGGAGGUCUUCAUCUCAGCACCAAGACUCAGCCUCCUCAAAGAACAGGGAAAUUUGGACACAGGCACAGAAAAGACACAGAGGAGAUGACUGUGUGAAGACAGAGGCAGAGGCUGGAGUGAUGCAGCUACAAGCCAAGGAGCUCUCACGAUUGCCAGCAACCACCAGAAGCUGGAAGAAGCAAGUAAGGAUUCUCCCCAGAGCCUUCAGAGAGAACACGGCCCCGCCAACAACUUGAUUUUAGACUUCUGGCCUCCGGAAAUGGGAAUAAAUUCCUGCUGUUUAAAGCCACCCAGUUUGUGGUACUUGCUACAGCUGCCUUAGGAAAUUAACACAGUGACUAAGAGCUGGGGUCACAUUGCGUGUAACACUGUAUGUGCUGGGGGGGUGGGGUGGGGGCAGAGGGGGAGGGGCAGAGAGGGCUGCGUGGGAGGAGGUGCUUUUCCUAGUUGUGUCUGCUGCUUGGGCAGGAGGCCCAGAGAACAGAACAGAACCCACAGUUCAGCGUGGCUCAUGGUAGACCCAGCUUUGAUGACUCAUGUGUUAUCAUCUUUGUGUCCUCCAUCGCGCCUAGAACAGGUUCUGCACCCAGAGGUGCUCAGGAAACAUUCAUUGGCCGGGCUGGCCUGGUCUCUCUUGGGCACCAGAGCUGUGCCGCCUACACAGUCCUUGCCACCCGCUGCUUUGCCCUGUACUGUUCAUGCACUUUUCUUGCUCCUCGUAUGCACUUAUUCACCAAACUGAUUGAUGCCCGAGCGCGAUGGGGUGCUUCUAGCCCAAAAGGGCUGACCUGUACUUUUCACUACGCCUCACCCACCUGAUUCCCCGUGUUCCACGUGUCAUGGUGCCUGCACACAGUAGGUGCCAUUACAUGCUUAGUGUUUUUGGAUGAGUUCGGCAUGUGAGGAAACAGACGGGAAUGGCUGGCUGGGCUGGAGAAAGCUACUCCAGCUUUACUAAAAAAGGAAUUUAGAGGCUGCUGCUAUUUGCUGAAUUAGCAGAGAAGCAUCGGCACCUCUGAAAGUCGUCAACAGGGAUUCCUGCUUACGGAGGCCACGCGCCGAGCCCAUAAUCCCCGCUCCAGAAGGGCGGCUUUAUCCUGAGUGUGACCUGAGAAACGAAAUCCCUCGGCUCUCACCGGCGGCCAGAGCCGUGUUAAACCAGAA